rnacentral:rRNA from 1 species
AGUCUGGUGCCAGCAGCCGCGGUAAUUCCAGCUCCAAUAGCGUAUAUUAAACUUGUUGCAGUUAAAAAGCUCGUAGUUGAAUUUCUGCUGUAUCGUUUUCCUCUGCUUGACAGUUGGAUUUCGUUAUGGCUUAGUUGGGUUACAGUUUCUGUUACCUGACGUUUACUUUGAGAAAAUUAGAGUGCUUCAAGCAGGCUUUUGCCUUGAAUACUUUAGCAUGGAAUAAUGGAGUAGGACUUUGGUUCUAUUUUGUUGGUUUUAGGAGCCAGAGUAAUGGUUAAUAGGAACAGUUGGGGGCAUUCGUAUUUGACUGUCAGAGGUGAAAUUCUUAGAUUUGUCAAAGACGAACUACUGCGAAAGCAUUUGCCAAGGAUGUUUUCAUUAAUCAAGAACGAAAGUUAGGGGAUCGAAGACGAUCAGAUACCGUCGU